rfam:Triticum aestivum genome assembly, contig: Triticum_aestivum_CS42_TGACv1_scaffold_471572_6AL
UUUCUACUCCCUCCGUCCGAAAAUACUUGUCAUCAAAAUGGAUAAAAAGAGAUGUAUCUAAAACUAAAAUACGUCUAGCUACAUUUCCUUUUAUCCAUUUUGAUGACAAGUAUUUCCGAACGGAGGGAGUAUUUG